UUAAAUGGCCGCAGUAUUUUGACUGUGCUAAGGUAGCAUAAUCAUUAGUUUUUUAAUUAAAAGCUAGAAUGAAGGGUUGGAUGAAAAAAUAAUUGUCUCUAAAUAAUUUUAUUAAAAUUUUAUUUUUAAGUUAAAAAGCUUAAAUAAUUUUAAAAGACGAGAAGACCCUAUAGAGUUUAAUAAAAAAUAAUAUAUAAAAUUUAAGUAAUUGAUAUUUUAUAAUAAAUUUUUAUUUGAUUGGGGUGAUUGAAAAAUUUAAAUAACUUUUUUUAUACAUUUAUAUUUAUAAAUAGAUAUUUGAUCCAAUAAUUUUGAUUGAAAGAAAAAAUUACCUUAGGGAUAACAGCGUAAUUUUAUUAAAGAGUU
rnacentral:rRNA from 1 species